rnacentral:rRNA from 1 species
AGCGAACGCUGGCGGCAGGCUUAACACAUGCAAGUCGAACGGGCACUUCGGUGUCAGUGGCAGACGGGUGAGUAACGCGUGGGAACAUACCUCUUGGUUCGGAACAACACAGGGAAACUUGUGCUAAUACCGGAUAAGCCCUUACGGGGAAAGAUUUAUCGCCGAGAGAUUGGCCCGCGUCUGAUUAGCUAGUUGGUGUGGUAAAAGCGCACCAAGGCGACGAUCAGUAGCUGGCUGAGAGGAUGAUCAGCCACAUUGGGACUGAGGCACGGCCCAAACUCCUACGGGAGGCAGCAGUGGGGAAUCUUGCGCAAUGGCCGAAAGGCUGACGCAGCGACGCCGCGUGUGGGAGGACGCCUUUCGGGUGUAA